rnacentral:rRNA from 1 species
AUUGAACGCUGGCGGCAUGCCUUACACAUGCAAGUCGAACGGCAGCACGGGAGCAAUCCUGGUGGCGAGUGGCGAACGGGUGAGUAAUAUAUCGGAACGUGCCCAGUCGUGGGGAUAACGUAGCGAAAGCUACGCUAAUACCGCAUACGAUCUAUGGAUGAAAGCGGGGGAUCGCAAGACCUCGCGCGAUUGGAGCGGCCGAUAUCAGAUUAGGUAGUUGGUGAGGUAAAGGCUCACCAAGCCGACGAUCUGUAGCUGGUCUGAGAGGACGACCAGCCACACUGGGACUGAGACACGGCCCAGACUCCUACGGAGGCAGCAGUGGGGAAUUUUGGACAAUGGGCGCAAGCCUGAUCCAGCAAUGCCGCGUGCAGGAUGAAGGCCUUCGGUUGGUAACUAGC